UUUAUCAUAAAUGGGUGGUGAAUUUUGUCAAAAGCUUUUUCUGCAUCUAUUGAGAUGACCAUAUGAUUUUGAUUCUUCAAUUUGUUGAUGUGGUGUACCAUACUGAUUGAUCUGUGUAUAUCAAAGGAGGUUGGUCCAGGGGCUUAAGCAGGCUUUUUGGUGGGAGGGACUGGUUCCUGCCCACUGGUGGGUGGAGCUGGGUCAUGUCCCUCUGGUGGGCAGGGCCGUGUCAGGAGGUAUAUUUAGCUGGUAGCUGUGUGCUCAGGAAGACUUUAAGCAGCCUGUCUGUUGAUGGGUGGGGCUGUGUUCCCACCCCAUUGUUUGUUUGGCCGGCAAACAAGGUGUCCCAGCACAGGAGCCUACAGGCUGUUGGGUGGGGCCAGGUCUUGGUGAGAAAAUGGCGGGCUCCCAGAGGGCUCAUGCCAGUGAGAACUUCCCAGAACUACCACUGCCAGUGUCUUUGUCCCUGCAGUGAGCCACACCCCGCCUUCACAGGAGACCCUCCAAUACCAGCAGCGGCAUGCUCCCUCACGGCACAAGGUGUUCUCAAGGGAAGCACUCCCUGUUAUGAUAUCGGAUACAACGCCUCAACCUGAUAAAUCUGGACAUUCACAGAGGCUUUCAGGAUAAAGUGUCUAUAUCAAAUGGCUUCCAGGAUGGCCAGAGAACCUCUUUUAACAACCCUGGCAGACCACAGAAGCAGAGCUAUAAAGUGAAAAGGAAACCUGAGAUGACAAAGAAUAGCCACAGGCCUGUGUGCCCCAAGAAAUGGUUGACUAUCACCCCCUCAAUAAUGACAAGGUGAAAAGUGAGCAAUUACAGCCUCAGAAUUCCAGAUGUGUCUCUUCUUAACAUCACGCAAGCAGGACAGGACAGGAGCUGGGAAUGCUGCAGCCAGGAGGACCCCAUCCAGAUCGUUACAAACAGCACCCCCAGAUCAUUUGAUCUUAGGGAAGAAAAGGGAAUCAAACCCUGUGCCCCUGACAGGAAAUGACAGGAUGAACAUUUUCCUGGCUAAAAGUUUGAAAUAUACACCUCUGCCACACACAAAAUUUUCACCCGUUAUUUCUUUCCUUAUACUUUCCUCAUUUAAAAUGUACAAUUUCACAGACUAAUCCAGUUUAUACACCCUAAAUGCAUGACACCCAUUUUUUCAGUUAUUCAGUCAGUAUUUACGGAGCACCAACCACGUGCCAGGCAUCGUUUCGUUCACUGCCAAAGCUUCAGUCCCUAAAACAAAGUUGCUGCUCUCAGAGUUCUGACUUCCCCAUGCUUUGCUAAUGGUUUCCUGCAUGAGCCCUCACAUACAACACCGUCCUUUUUUAAGAUAACAUUUUUUGAGGGUUUAUGCGUGUCAGGCACUGAACACCAUUAAUUCAUUUAAUUCUCACAGCACCCCUGUGAGGUGGUACGAUUUCUAUCCCCUCUUUAAGGAUGAAGAAUUUGAAAUUUAAAGACAGGAUAAGUAACUUACCCAAGGCUACAAAGCUAGUAAAUCACUGAUAGGAUUAAAAUGUAGGUCCAGUUCCAAACUCCUCCAUCUUAAUCCCUACGCUAAACUGCCUUCGAAACUUCUUAAAUAUAGUUGGCUAUGAUGGACAUAUUUGGUUUA